AUUGAACGCUGGCGGAAUGCUUUACACAUGCAAGUCGAACGAUGAAACCUAGCUUGCUAGGUCGAUUAGUGGCGAACGGGUGAGUAAUAUAUCGGAACGUAUCCAAUAAUGGGGGAUAACUAGUCGAAAGAUUGGCUAAUACCGCAUACGUCCUACGGGAGAAAGCUGGGGAUCGUAAGACCUGGCGUUAAUGGAGCGGCCGCUAUCUGAUUAGCUAGUUGGUGGGGUAAAGGAUCACCAAGGCAACGAUCAGUAGCUGGUCGGAGAGGACGACCAGCCACACUGGAACUGAGACACGGUCCAGACUUCUACGGGAGGCAGCAGUGGGGAAUUUUGGACAAUGGGCGCAAGCCUGAUCCAGCCAUUCCGCGUGAGUGAAGAAGGCCUUCGGGUUGUAAAGCUCUUUCGCAAGGGAAGAACACUCAAUCUCUAACAUAGAUUGAGGUUGACGGUACCUUGAUAAGAAGCACCGGCUAGCUACGUGCCAGCAGCCGCCGCAG
rnacentral:rRNA from 1 species